UGGCCAGGGUCUCAGCUGCCAAACGCAGGGACUCGGAGGCUACUUUCUCCCCUUCGGCCGCGAUGACCUGUGAGGAAGGGCCGCCGUCAGCACGCAGGGGCCGGCACCGCUCUUUACUGUACAAGCCACCGAGUCCAAGGCAACCUGUGGAGAAAAACUGGGCAUCAGUGAAGCACUGCAGAGGAGACCCUGCGCUUCAGUAUGAAAUUCCUCUGCUUUGCCCUUAGUGAACGUUCCCUGACCUGUUCCUUCCCUGUGAGCCCCGCUCCACCAAGUCCCACUCCACCCAACCCUGCAGGCAACUCUCUCUGUUCAUCAGACCCUGGACUAGUCAGUUCUGUCCUUUCUCCACCUUCUGUCUGCCCAUCUUUCCAUUCCUGCUUGGCAAUUCUGGCUCCCCAAUAGAAGGAAAUGCGUGGCCUCUGACCUGCACCCCAUCCUUGCCUUAGUCUCCCCAGAAACCUCUUUGUGACCCAGCACUGUGUGCUGAUUUUCUGGGUCAGUGUAAGUAAUAAACUUUGUUCUACUUUCA